AUUUCUCCCCUUCGAGCUCAGGGGGUAGAAUAGCACCUGAACUGUGGAGAGAAAAGA
rnacentral:pre_miRNA from 1 species